AACAUCGCGCACCUGCGGGAACCUGCGGAAGGAUCAUUACCGAGUUAUACAACUCAUCAACCCUGUGAACAUACCUAUAACGUUGCCUCGGCGGGAACAGACGGCCCCGUAACACGGGCCGCCCCCGCCAGAGGACCCCCUAACUCUGUUUCUAUAAUGUUUCUUCUGAGUAAACAAGCAAAUAAAUUAAAACUUUUAGCAAUGGAUCU
rnacentral:misc_RNA from 1 species